rnacentral:rRNA from 1 species
GACAGAGGGUGCAAACGUUGUUCGGAAUUACUGGCGUAAAGCGAGUGUAGGCGGUCUGAAAAGUCGGGUGUGAAAGCCCCGGGCUCAACCCGGGGAAGUGCACUCGAAACUGCCAGGCUAGAGUAUCGGAGAGGUUGGUGGAAUUCUCGGUGUGAGAGGUGAAAUUCGUAGAUAUCGAGAGGAACACCGGUGGCGAAGGCGGCCAACUGGACGAAUACUGACGCUGAGACUCGAAAGCGUGGGGAGCAAACAGG